CGAUUAGAUUGGAGCUUGGUAUUGCAACCUGCUAAGUGGUAACUUCCAAAUUCAGGGAAACCCUGGAAUUAAAAAUGGGCAAUCCUGAGCCAAAUCUUUAGGUUAAGAAAACAAAGGAUAGGUGCAGAGACUCAAUGGAAGCUGUUCUAACGAAUGGAAUUGACGUUGCGUUGGUAACUGGAAUCCCUCUAUCGAAAUUACAGAAAGAAUGAUCCUAUAUGCGUAUAUAUAGAUACUGACAUAUCAAACGAUUAAUCACGACUCGAAUCGGGAAUCCAUAUUAUUAUAUAACUAUAUAUCUUUAUUCUUUAUAUUAUAUAUCUUUAUUAUCCUAUCUUUAUUAUCCUAUAUAUUAUAUAACUAUAUAUAGUUAAUAAAGAUAUAUAUAUUUAUUUAUUUAUAGAUUAAUGAUUAAUUAAGAGUUAUUAGAAAUCUAUUCCGGUCGAAGUUGAAGGAAGAAUCAAAUAUUCAGUAUUCGGUGAUCAAAUCAUUCAUUCCUCGGACGAGAAUGAAAGAGAGAGUCCUGUUCUACGUGUCAAUACCGACAGCAAUGAAAUUUAUGAUAUUAGGAAAUCCCUCGACUUUAGAAAUCGUGA
rnacentral:ncRNA from 1 species